GGGAGGGUACUCUGAGAAGGGUAACCUGAUCUCCCGGCACAUCUGGGUCUUCACUUCACUGUUUCACAGCAAGGGCAGAGAGCAGUUUUACAAAGACAUGAUUGGACAAGCCAGGAUAAAGAUCCCCUUGGUCACUGAUGGGCUUUUAUUCUGAUGGAUUUUUCUGAACACGCAGGAGUCACCAUUCAGAAUUCCUUUUCUCUUUCUCCCAGGUGAUCCUGGGAGAAAGCUACCUUCUACUUGUUUCUCCAUCCCUCCUUUGCUGGCAUUCCCUCUGCAGCAACCCAGGAUCUGAUCACAAGAACUCACUGCCUCUGUGCCCACAAGGACGCAGCUCUCACACUGUGCUUCUCAGAGAAUCUGUGGUGACGAACCAGAUGCUUGUGACAUUCCUACUCCUCCUUCACCUCCUGCUAUGAUUGUAGCUUCCCGACGCCUCCCCAGAAGCUGAGCAGAUGCUGGUGCCAAGCUUCCUGUGCAACCUAAAGAACCGACCCAAUUGUGGCCACUUCAGCUGGCCCAGGCUUUCCCGAAAUGUGAGGACAGUGAUCUCCCUACUCUUCCUCCUGCAGGCUGGUGGCAAAAACACAAAGUCCACUUGAGACCACAAAGUCCAAGGAUCCUUGCUUAUUCCUGGAAUAUACUAGGAAAAAUACAGGUAGAAACAUCACAAAGAAAUGUCACAAUAAAUUAAAUUGCC
rnacentral:lncRNA from 1 species